UAACAAGCCAGUUACAUCUACAAUCAACCAUAAACUAUGUUAAUGAGGACACUGGAAGGAGGUGUUGGGUGGGCUAAAAUGUUAAAGGAGCAAAGAAGUCCCUUGUCUCCGAGAAGUGAGUGUUUCUGUGCUUCUGCCAUUUCAAAGAUACAUUUCGAAGAGACUCUAAUCCCACCAUCUGAGACAAGGAGUCACUGUCUCACACCCCUUUGGAAAACAUAAACACUCUGAAAUUCCUACCCAGAAUUUGCUUUGAAGACAAUGGCCCGGGAGAAACCGAAAACACUGAAAAUGGGGCCAGAAGUGAUAAAUAAGGACUGCCAAAAACCCAAACAAAACAGAAAGUCAAUGAGUUCCUCCACCAAGUCAAAUCCAUAGUCACUUUGUAACAAUUCUGAAGGUUGAAUUGGAGGCAUACAAUAGUGAGCUAACCUGCAAGGUUUGCCUGCAAUGGAUAAGAGAGUUUUCUUUCCCCUUUAUACAAUUAAACAGCUGAGAGAAUUGUAUCUCUUGGU